rnacentral:rRNA from 1 species
UACGUAGGGUGCAAGCGUUAAUCGGAAUUACUGGGCGUAAAGCGUGCGCAGGCGGCUUUGCAAGACAGAUGUGAAAUCCCCGGGCUCAACCCUGGGAACUGCAUUUGUGACUGCAUGGCUAGAGUACGGUAGAGGGGGAUGGAAUUCCGCGUGUAGCAGUGAAAUGCGUAGAUAUGCGGAGGAACACCGAUGGCGAAGGCAAUCCCCUCGGACCUGUACUGACGCUCAUGCACGAAAGCGU